rnacentral:rRNA from 1 species
AGUGAACGCUGGCGGUAGGCCUAACACAUGCAAGUCGAACGGCAGCACAGUAAGAGCUUGCUCUUACGGGUGGCGAGUGGCGGACGGGUGAGGAAUACAUCGUAAUCUACUUUUUCGUGGGGGAUAACGUAGGGAAACUUACGCUAAUACCGCAUACGACCUACGGGUGAAAGCAGGGGAUCUUCGGACCUUGCGCGAUUGAAUGAGCCGAUGUCGGAUUAGCUAGUUGGCGGGGUAAAGGCCCACCAAGUCGACGAUCCGUAGCUGGUCUGAGUGGAGGAUCGGCCGCACGGGAACUGAGCCACCGACCAGACUCCUGCGGGAGGCCGCAGUGGGGAAUAUGGGACAAUGGGCGCAAGCCUGGUACAGCCAGACCGAGUGGGUGAAGAAGGCCUUCGGGUUGUGAAGCCCUUUUGUGGGGAGAGAACAGCAGCAGGUUAAUACCACGCUGUUCUGACGGUACCCAAAGAAUAAGCACCGGCUAACUUCGUG